UUCCCCUAGUAACGGCGAGUGAAGAGGGAAGAGCCCAAGAUUGAAAGCUGGCGCCUUCGGCGUCCGCAUUGUAAUCUCAAGAAGUGUUUUCCGCUUCGGACCAUGCCUAAGUCCCUUGGAAAAGGGCAUCAUAGAGGGUGAUAAUCCCGUACAUGGCAUGGAGCGCCCGAAGCUUUGUGAUACGCUUUCUAAGAGUCGAGUUGUUUGGGAAUGCAGCUCAAAAUGGGUGGUAAAUGCCAUCUAAGGCUAAAUAUUGGGGAGAGACCGAUAGCGAACAAGUACAGUGAUGGAAAGAUGAAAAGAACUUUGAAAAGAGAGUUAAACAGUACGUGAAAUUGCCAAAAGGGAAGGGUAGGAGGUCAGAGAUGCGUCGCAGGAUUCAGCCUUGCUUUUGCUUGGUGUUUUUCCUGCGUUGCAGGCCAACGUCGGUUUUGGGCACUGGAGAAGGG
rnacentral:rRNA from 1 species